CCUGAGGAGGCAAAGGCAGAGGAGAGUCAUAUGUGAAGCCAAUAAGGUAGAGAGGAAAAGGUGUGUAGGGUGAUGGAGCAUCUCCAUCCAAGGCAACAGAAAUGGUUUUAAACGGUUACAAGGGAGGACUAAGAGCAGUGUCAGGGUGAAUGUGGGCGCCGCAGCAUCUAAAGUAAUGUGUGAUGUGCAACCUUCUGGUUUCCCACCUGGAAGCACCCCCAUAUCGCUGCUGUGCUGCAUCAACUCCCAUCCCAUCCUCAUGUUCUUUAUGAGAACUGUUGAGUCACUGAUUGAGCACCUGGGAAAGGACUUUGUCAGCCCUGGGAGCACAGGUGAAGGAAUGCAGCUGUGUGAAUAGAAGAGGUGGAGCUGCACCUCUCUGAGACCCCAUUUAAGGGCUGACUGCCACAGGGGGAGGUUCUCUUCCUGGAGAUUCCUCCUUGGUGGAGCUUUCCUCUACAAACCUGGACUCUUCUGAUACAGGUGAGUAAUCUUCCCUUCCUCUAUAGCAUGUCUCUAUUGUGCCAGUCCUUCUGUCAUUAUAUCUCUGGUCCCUCAUGUUAAUCUGUCCAAUUGCUAAAUGUCCCACAAUGCUUUCCCUUACCUAAUCCUUCAGUGGCUGUGAGGGUAAAAGCCACCUGUGCCACUCUCCUGCAGCUGCACCAUUAGGAUUGUCCUGUUGGUCUGCACAUGAGGAACAUGGAAGCCCAGCAAUGCAGUGCAGCACACAACUGCAGCCCAGAAAGAAGGGGAGGCAGCUGGCACUGCGAGCUGAGCAUCUUAUCUCCAAGGAAGCCUCAGGCCCUCGCUGUCAAGAAAGCAAAUGGGGGAAGCAGCUGUCCCUUCUGGGAGGGGCUGCACACACUGAGAUGGUGCUGCGCUCAUUUGUAUUCAUACCUCUGCCUCCUGCCUGGAUGGAUUUUAACCCAUUUUAACCCAACUAUUUGUGUUUUGUAACACAAACCCAAAACGUGCGUUGGUGUGAGGAGAAAGAUGAAGCAUAGAUGACAAGUGCAGCCUGAAGGACCCAAUGCUCCAUUUCAGCCCAAUUCUGUUUCCACUUGGCCUUGGAACCUUUGAAUGACAAAUCUAAUGAAAGCAGCCUGCUGAAAAAUAAAAUAGAAGAGAUACCUCUAUUCUUAUAAUUAAGGCUUGGAAAAGUGGAGGGUUUCUGUGCUGAUGCCUCAUCUAAAGCUUGUCAGUGGGUUUAAGGUCAGGGUGCAAAACUAGGAAGCCUUCAUGUUACUGUAACUGAUUCAAAGGGACUCUGUAGUGUGUAAAUGUAUCUAAUCCAUGUUUUGUUCAUAGAGGAUUAGGUAUGGAAAAGAACAAGGGCAAAAGGGAAGGCAAAGUCUUUGGCAGAAGAGAUUAAAAUGGAUUUCCAGCAUGCAGACCAUCAACAGCAUUCUUCCCAGUGCCAGCACUCACUCUCUGCUUUGGAACCUUCAGGACAAACAGAGACAGCAGUGAACCAUAACUCCACUCAGGUGUCACACUCAUCAUCCAUAAGAACUCCACCUAUGGAAGCUGCAUCUGCUGCUCAGGUUUCUUGCUUCGUUAAGAUGUUUACCUUCAUGGGAAAAGCCUGCAAGGCCAUGGGGCUGCAGAGCAGCUUUCUGCUGCCAUUCUGGGCUGCUGUUUGGGAAGAGAUGACUGCUACAAUGGUUUAUCCCCCAGCUGCUUCAGAACUUGAUCUCCCAAACCACCUCUGGGUUUUGGCUCUGCCCAUGAGCCCAGGCAGGUUGAAUAGAGCUGAGGUAAGUCAUCUCCAAAUUCUAUCACACCUUUUCUACAACUACCUGCUUCUUUUUUAGGUUUCACUGCAUGGAAGUUAAGGGUUAAGGACUGCAGGCAGCACGCCCCCAGUCAGCUGGAGGUGAUAGCAGGACAGCCCCUGCAGAACUCAGCAGCACUUCAAUGCAGAUGAAGGCUGACACCAUGUUCCCUCAGCUCUGCUGCCCAGACACAGGUUAAGGCUCUGCUCUGAGACACCUGUAGAGACAGAACGCUUCCAGACAGCAACACUGCAAAUGAGUGUUGGAGGAAAAAACUAAUUAAGGAAACACACACACAGAAAUGCGAGGUGAAUUAAGCGACAGGCGUAUUGCAAUUAAGCCUACACUUGGAGGAUUAGCUUCAAGUCGCAUCAGGUCACCACAGGAAAUAGCUGAAAACAAAAGGCAAACAAAAUGCUCCCACCUAGCCCUGUGUUCCAGCAGCAGUUUUCACUAGGGCUUUGUGCUGUAAUCUUCCAAGAAUGGGUCAAUUGAAUCUAUUUAUUAGGCAGAGACCUGAGGCACGCUGCAUUUCAGCAGCUGGCUGUGAUGAGCCCAUCUAAAAGAGCACUGGAAGCUGAAAUGUCUCAAGACACAACUGUUUCAAGGCUGCUUUGAGGACUUCUAAAGAGCGCCAGGCUCACAGCAUCUGCUGUUUAUCAGCUCUGUAAGGUGCUCUCAAGAUGAAAAACAACUGUAAGAGGUGCCUCGUCUUCCCUUUGUCUUGGCUCUUUUUGCCCUUCAUCUAUUUCUCCUGCCAGACACCCCGACCUCAGAUGUGCCAGGACAACAGUGUGGCUGCACUCAGCUCGCCUUGCCAAGCUAUUUUUAAUUUCGUUCAGCUCCCUGACCCAGUUCACAGCACAGCCGCACAAGGAGGUGUAGCAGCACAAUGGAAAGGAUAGCAGAAAGGCAGGAAUAAGAGGCAGGGCUAACACUGCCAGAGAUGCUAUAUAAAAAUACAUUCAGACUGAAGCAGGGUGGAAGGAUGCUUUGGUGUCCUAAUGCUGACAUACCGACAGACAACAUCAGGCAUCUCUCCUGCUAAAUGUCUUGAGCUGAAACAUAAGCAACAGCCGGUGUGGUUUGGCCACAUUUGUUCCUAAGGAACUUGCUUUGCUUUAAUUCAGUAGGGGGCUUCCCCACUGGCGAUUCUAAGAGCUCUUCCUAUUUAAUGAGACAAGGAGUCAUGUAGACACUGACACCUACUCUAGAGCUAGUAGUGUUCUGAUAUUACUACAAGGACAUAAUGAUAUUUUUCAAGAUCUGAGACUCCAUUAAAAACAAAGCAUUAUAGUAAGGGAAAAAGAAGCAGGAAGCCCAAUGAUCCAAACCCCACCUACCUGCCAUGCCACAGCAAGCUGGGAGAUCUCUCGGCCAGACAUGCCCUCUGUCAGCCUGGCAAUCUCUGAGCACUUUUUGCCAUAGUCAAACUGGGCCAGCUUCAAACGUCUAAAAGCAGAAGCACAAGGAUUGCUUUAUAUGUAACCACGUGACAGCAGGAGGCAAGGCAGAGGGAGGUUUGUAUUGCUAUUGACAAUUCUACUUCUGAAUGGGAACAUCAGAUUUCUCUUCAUUUUGGAGAAGGGAGACAGCUCUGUUAGCACAGCUGAGGACAACAGCAACAAGGAUACUCACUGUUUGCCCUCUGUGGCUGGCUUCAGGACGUGCCUAUCAAAAUACAUCCUCACGAGCCGCUCUCGCUCUUCUAGCUGGGGCAGAUCAAAGUUCACCAUUU